UGCGGGGUGGAGCAGUUUGGUAGCUUGCUGGGUUCAUACCCCAGAGGUCGUUGGUUCGAGUCCAACCCCCGCUA
rnacentral:tRNA from 1 species